CUUCAUCUCUGGUUUGGUGCAGUAGCAAAGCAGAGUCAAAAGAUAAACUACUGUAUUUCCAGCAUGACUUUCCCCUGUUCUUUGCCAUCACUAAGGCAAAUAUAUUUUAACCUUCGUUGGUUUUCUUUUUCAGUGAUCAACCAGCACCUGCAGGAAUUUCAGAGAAAGCAAGACAAUAAUUGAUCUGAAACUUUUUGAUUCUGCCUGACAUUAUGCUGUUUGUACAGACACCUGGAGCAGGUGACACAGGAGCGUGUCCAGGAGGAACCUUUCAAAAAUUAACCUGAGAGCAGCUGGAAAAGGCUAGUCUUACACCUUUUCCUGUGAAUGGGACACAGUCAGGAUCCCCACAGUGCCAGUUUAGCACCCAACACUCUUACACUCUAUGUGAUGCCAGGCUUUGACCUUGGUAAAGGCUGUGCUGCCUCUCUGCCUGCUGCAGCUGGCUGGCACCUCUGAGAAGGCUGCCACGUCACACCUUGCUGGAGUCGGGGAGAAUGUGGUGGGUUUGCUCUGGAGGGUGGAGGGUGCAUGAAAAUAUUUUCUGUGGUUUCAGUUUGCA
rnacentral:lncRNA from 1 species